GAAGCUGACCAGACAGUCGCCGCUUCGUCGUCGUCCUCUUCGGGGGAGACGGGCGGAGGGGAGGAAAGUCCGGGCUCCAUAGGGCAGGGUGCCAGGUAACGCCUGGGGGGGAAACCCACGACCAGUGCAACAGAGAGCAAACCGCCGAUGGCCCGCGCAAGCGGGAUCAGGUAAGGGUGAAAGGGUGCGGUAAGAGCGCACCGCGCGGCUGG
rnacentral:RNase_P_RNA from 1 species